rnacentral:rRNA from 1 species
UACAGAGGUCUCAAGCGUUGUUCGGAUUCAUUGGGCGUAAAGGGUGUGUAGGUGGCGCGCUAAGUCGGGUGUGAAAUUUCGGAGCUUAACUCCGAAACUGCAUUCGAUACUGGCGUGCUUGAGGACUGGAGAGGAGACUGGAAUUCAUGGUGUAGCAGUGAAAUGCGUAGAGAUCAUGAGGAAGACCAGUGGCGAAGGCGGCGAUCUGGGUCGAUACUGACGGCUGAGGUGCGAAAGCGUGGGGAGCAAACAGG